UACGGAGGGUACGAGCGUUGUCCGGAAUCACUGGGCGUAAAGGGCGCGUAGGCGGCCUGAUAAGUAGGGGGUGAAAUCCUGCGGCUUAACCGCAGGGCUGCCUUCUAAACUGUCAGGCUAGAGCACAGUAGAGGCAGGUGGAAUUCCCGGUGUAGCGGUGGAAUGCGUAGAGAUCGGGAAGAACAUCAGUGGCGAAGGCGGCCUGCUGGGCUGUUGCUGACGCUGAGGCGCGACAGCGUGGGGAGCAAACAGG
rnacentral:rRNA from 1 species